UACGGAGGGUGCGAGCGUUGUCCGGAAUCGAUUGGGCGUUAAGGGCGCGUAGGCGGCCUUCUAAGUCGGACGGUGAAAUCCCUCGGCUUAACCGGGGAACUGCGUCCGAUAACUGGUGGGCUUGAAUCCGGGAGAGGGAUGUGGAAUUCCAGGUGUAGCGGUGGAAAUGCGUAGAUAUCUGGAGGAACGACCGGAUGGCGAAGGCG
rnacentral:rRNA from 1 species